rnacentral:rRNA from 1 species
GGACAGUGCCUGGUGGGUAGUUUGACUGGGGCGGUCUCCUCCCAAAGAGUAACGGAGGAGCACGAAGGUGGGCUAAUCACGGUUGGACAUCGUGAGGUUAGUGCAAUGGCAUAAGCCCGCUUAACUGCGAGAAUGACGGUUCGAGCAGGUGCGAAAGCAGGUCAUAGUGAUCCGGUGGUUCUGAAUGGAAGGGCCAUCGCUCAACGGAUAAAAGGUACUCCGGGGAUAACAGGCUGAUACCGCCCAAGAGUUCAUAUCGACGGCGGUGUUUGGCACCUCGAUGUCGGCUCAUCACAUCCUGGGGCUGAAGUCGGUCCCAAGGGUAUGGCUGUUCGCCAUUUAAAGUGGUACGCGAGCUGGGUUUAGAACGUCGUGAGACAGUUCGGUCCCUAUCUGCCGUGGGCGUUGGAAGAUUGAAGGGGGCUGCUCCUAGUACGAGAGGACCGGAGUGGACGAACCUCUGGUGUUCGGGUUGUGUCGCCAGACGCAUUGCCCGGUAGCUAAGUUCGGAAUCGAUAACCGCUGAAAGCAUCUAAGCGGGAAGCGAGCCCUGAGAUGAGUCUUCCCUGAUACUUUAAGUAUCCUGAAGGGUUGUUCGAGACUAGAACGUUGAUAGGCAGGGUGUGUAAGCGCUGUGAGGCGUUGAGCUAACCUGUACUAAUUGCCCGUGAGGCUUAACCAUACAACAC